GAUGAACGCUAGCGGCAGGCUUAACACAUGCAAGUCGAGGGGUAUAGGUUUUCGGACCUAGAGACCGGCGCACGGGUGCGUAACGCGUAUGCAAUCUACCUUUUACAGAGGGAUAGCCCAGAGAAAUUUGGAUUAAUACCUCAUAGUAUAAUGAUUCGGCAUCGAGACAUUAUUAAAGUUCCAACGGUAAAAGAUGAGCAUGCGUCCCAUUAGCUAGAUGGUAAGGUAACGGCUUACCAUGGCGACGAUGGGUAGGGGUCCUGAGAGGGAGAUCCCCCACACUGGUACUGAGACACGGACCAGACUCCUACGGGAGGCAGCAGUGAGGAAUAUUGGUCAAUGGGCGCAAGCCUGAACCAGCCAUGCCGCGUGCAGGAUGACGGUCCUAUGGAUUGUAAACUGCUUUUGUACAGGAAGAAACAGUUCUACGUGUAGAACCUUGACGGUACUGUAAGAAUAAGGAUCGGCUAACCCCGUGCCAGCCGCCGCGGUAACAC
rnacentral:rRNA from 1 species